rnacentral:rRNA from 1 species
AUUGAACGCUGGCGGCAGGCCUAACACAUGCAAGUCGAGCGGAUGAAGGGAGCUUGCUCCUGGAUUCAGCGGCGGACGGGUGAGUAAUGCCUAGGAAUCUGCCUGGUAGUGGGGGAUAACGUCCGGAAACGGGCGCUAAUACCGCAUACGUCCUGAGGGAGAAAGUGGGGGAUCUUCGGACCUCACGCUAUCAGAUGAGCCUAGGUCGGAUUAGCUAGUUGGUGGGGUAAAGGCCUACCAAGGCGACGAUCCGUAACUGGUCUGAGAGGAUGAUCAGUCACACUGGAACUGAGACACGGUCCAGACUCCUACGGGAGGCAGCAGUGGGGAAUAUUGGACAAUGGGCGAGAGCGUAAUCCAGCCAUACCGCGUGUGUGAAGAAGGUCUUCGGAUUGUAAAGCACUUUAAGUUGGGAGGAAGGGCAGUAAGUUAAUACCUUGCUGUUUUGACGUUACCAACAGAAUAAGCACCGGCUAACUUCGUG